UCUACACCUUUCUUCCGCACAUUUCACUUUUUUACUUAUUUUGUCGAAGGAAACCUGUGCAUAAAAGAUUUGAUGGUUCUGUUGCCAUCCACUCAUUUGAUGAAGCUCCUCGAUUAUAUUGAAGCAAAAAUGUGAUAACUUGUGCAACAGAUUACGCAACACAGUCUAAUAGUAGAUAUUAGACCAGUUGAUGGAACAAAUACCUUGCCCACGUGUUGCAUUUAGGUUCGAAUGACUGACCAACCACAAAAGAUGAAAGGUCUGAUAGAUAGCCUUCACACGGAAUCAGCUUGAUUUGUCUUCUGAGGAUUCUAAGUUGGAAUGUACCCAUCUGAUUGUUUUGCCAGACUCUGAGACAUGGAGGAGUUGUAGAAGGGCUUCCUAUCUGCUGACUGUUAAGGAAGUUGAUUCAGACUAGGAAAACUCACGCGGGACAAGUGGCAUUUUGAUUGUGAUGAUGUGCAAAAGAUUCUAUAAAUGUACAGCCUAGUUGACAAAGUCUACCAACUUCCGAAGAAUCUGGUAUCAAGACAUUUCUUCCUUGGGAAUAAUAGUGGCAAAACAAAAUCCUGUUUGUUCACGUAAGUUUAUGGUGUCAAUUUCUGUGAGAGAAAUCCAGCAUACUGCAGGGAAGAGCAUAU